AUGCAGCUGACGAGUCCCAAAUAGAACGAAGCGCGCAUCCUGGAU
rnacentral:hammerhead_ribozyme from 1 species